CCGGCCGCGGCCUCCCAGCCUCCAUCUCCUCCGCGGAGCCUGCCGCCUCCGGAUCCCACUCUCCCGAGCGGUACUCUGAGGGAGCGUCCUCCUCAGCGCCCACCCCGGCCUCCCGCAGGCUCCCCGCCUUCCAGGUCGAAAGGGGAUCCAGGAGCUGAUGCAUGCCUCAGCCAGGCAGAUGGUGAUGUAGAUACUGUGCCCUUCCUAGAAUCCGUAACUGGCCAGUGCACCAGGUAGAUGGUGACGCAGAUACCGGUCCCGCCCUGGAAUUCCUAACAGGUCAGCUACCAGGCAGAUGACGACACCUGGAAACCGUGAGGACCCCGGCAGCGGGAACUCCCACAGCUCAUGCUCCCCCGCCCUCACUGAACAGCUGUAUAAAAAAAGCGCCCCCCUCCCUGUUGGUGCGGAUCCACGUGCCCUGUCUUUGGGAUCCGUGGGCAGCCCAGGGACCCAGAAUAAAGCCUUUCCUUUCUUUCUUUUCUGAUUAA